UACGUAGGAUCCGAGCGUUGUCCGGAUUUACUGGGUGUAAAGAGUGCGCAGGCGGACUGGUAAGUCAGUGGUGAAAUCUCGUCGCUUAACGACGAAACUGCCUUUGAUACUAUCAGUCUUGAAUCCGGUAGAGAUCUGUGGAAUUCCGAGUGUAGCAGUGAAAUGUGUAGAUAUUCGGAAGAACACCAGUGGCGAAGGCAGCAGAUUGGGCCGGUAUUGACGCUCAGGCACGAAAGCAUGGGGAUCAAACAGG
rnacentral:rRNA from 1 species